GUCCAGACUCCUACGGGAGGCAGCAGUGAGGGAUAUUGGUCAAUGGGGGAAACCCUGAACCAGCAACGCCGCGUGAGGGAAGACGGUUUUCGGAUUGUAAACCUCUGUCCUCUGUGAAGAUAAUGACGGUAGCAGAGGAGGAAGCUCCGGCUAACUACGUGCCAGCAGCCGCGGUAAUACGUAGGGAGCGAGCGUUGUCCGAAAUUACUGGGUGUAAAGGGAGCGUAGGCGGGACUGCAAGUUGGGUGUCAAAUCUACCGGCUCAACCGGUAGCCGCACUCAAAACUGCAGUUCUUGAGUGAAGUAGAGGCAGGCGGAAUUCCUAGUGUAGCGGUGAAAUGCGUAGAUAUUAGGAGGAACACCAGUGGCGAAGGCGGCCUGCUGGGCUUUUACUGACGCUGAGGCUCGAAAGUGUGGGGAGCAAACAGGAUUAGAUACCCCCGUAAC
rnacentral:rRNA from 1 species